GGGCCGGUCGUCUAGCCUGGUCAGGACGCCGCUCUGACACGGCGGAGGUCCCAGGUUCAAUUCCUGGCCGGCCCACCA
rnacentral:tRNA from 4 species